UACAGAGGCCUCGAGCGUUAGGCGGAAUCACUGGGCUUAAAGCGUGUGUAGGCGGAUUGGUAAGUACCUUGUGAAAUCCCACGGCUUAACCGUGGAACUGCUCGGUAUACUGCUGAUCUUGAGCCACUCAGGGGCUACCGGAACAAAUGGUGGAGCGGUGAAAUGCGUAGAUAUCAUUUGGAACGCCAAUGGUGAAAACAGGUAGCUGGGGGUGUGCUGACGCUGAGACACGAAAGCGUGGGGAGCAAACAGG
rnacentral:rRNA from 1 species